rnacentral:rRNA from 1 species
AAACAGGUUAAUAUUCCUGUACUUGGUGUUACUGCGAAGGGGGGACGGAGAAGGCUAUGUUAGCCGGGCGACGGUUGUCCCGGUUUAAGCAUGUAGGCGGAGGUUCCAGGUAAAUCCGGUACCUUUUAACGCUGAGGUGUGAUGACGAGGCACUACGGUGCUGAAGUAACAAAUGCCCUGCUUCCAGGAAAAGCCUCUAAGCAUCAGGUAACAUUGAAUCGUACCCCAAACCGACACAGGUGGUCAGGUAGAGAAUACCAAGGCGCUUGAGAGAACUCGGGUGAAGGAACUAGGCAAAAUGGUGCCGUAACUUCGGGAGAAGGCACGCUGAUAUGUAGGUGAA